rnacentral:rRNA from 1 species
GAUGAACGCUAGCGGCAGGCCUAAUACAUGCAAGUCGGACGGGAUUUGGGAGCUUGCUCCCAAUGAGAGUGGCGCACGGGUGCGUAACACGUAUGUAACCUACCUUAAUCAGGGGGAUAGCCUCUCGAAAGAGAGAUUAACACCGCAUAAUAUAUUUUUAUGGCAUCGUAGAAAUAUCAAAUAUUUAUAGGAUUAAGAUGGGCAUGCGGAACAUUAGCUAGUUGGUAAGGUAACGGCUUACCAAGGCUACGAUGUUUAGGGGAUCUGAGAGGAUGACCCCCCACACUGGUACUGAGACACGGACCAGACGCCUACGGGAGGCAGCAGUAAGGAAUAUUGGUCAAUGGGCGCAAGCCUGAACCAGCCAUGCCGCGUGCAGGAAGACGGCCCUAUGGGUUGUAAACUGCUUUUGUACCGGAAUAAACCCUUUUACGUGUAAAAGGCUGAAUGUACGGUAAGAAUAAGGAUCGGCCAACUCCGUGCCAGCCGCCGCUGUAA